GCCAUGGUAGCUCUUUGUCCUCCCGAUUGAGUCGCAGUGGCGUACUGGUCCUUUUAGCACUGGCGGAGAGUAGAUUUAGUAAGUGCUGCUCCCCAGAGAUCUUAAGGCCACGUGAUUUGGUGUGGACCUGGGAGUUUGGGGUGCAGAGGCUAGGUGGGCCCUGUGCCCUGUGAUGUGCGUUUGUUAGGGUGAAGGGGCAACCCACUGUGCUGAUUUAGGAAUCGGGAGAGACGAUGGAGGGGGGUGGGACUGGGAGUUUGAGAAUGGAGUUCUGUGGGGUUGGUGAGGUCUUUGUAAUAAUCCAUUUAUCAUAACCAUGAGGAAGGCAGUGGAUUUGCAUGAGGGCACUGGUUCCUUCUUUCCCUUUUGCUGAAAUGACAGAUCAGCAUCCUUCCGAAAGCCCCCUGAGCCCUUAUUUCUGGGUUCUUCCUUUUUGUAACUGCAGACCUGGUCUUGCCAGAUUGGUGGCCCGGUGACUGUCAUCGUCCUGUUUCCUCUAGUGUCUGAGGCUUGGAGAAUAAGUGGUGUGUGGGUUCUGGGGCUGGGUGUGGGCUCUGGGGCUCUGUUGGAGAGCAUUUAAAUCAGCCCAGCCCUUUGAGUCCUCUGCUUACCCCCCUCCCUCGCCUCAGUCUACUUGGAUUUGUCUGUUGUCCUCAAAGAGAAGGUGGCUUGGGGGGUUAGUUGUUGGUGACCCGCCUGUGAUGGUGUGGUAGCGGGGAGAAAGGGCACGGCACCACCUGGCCUGGUUCUUCACCGCUCAGCCUCCAUUUCCUCAGUCAUGUGGGGGCGACAGUGAGGACAGCCACCUCAGUGGUUGCUGGCAGGACCCUCUGCGCACUUGUAGUUAAUAUUCUCCCAGCCUGAUGGAGCAGUCCUUCGCUCCUAUUAAUGGUCGCUUGCUAAGAAGCCUCCUGGAUGGGAGGGCUGCCCCCGGGGGAGGGUUGUUGUUGUUGUGAGUGCGCUGUGUUCUGCCUCCUUGUGGGCAGUGGCUGUGCAGGCCCCCACCUCCUGCGUGAUGUGUCUGGUUUGAGGUCUGGGCUCCGCAGCUCUGCUGGUUUCUCUGGACAGGCACGGCCACAGUUGUCAUCUCCUUCUUCACCUUUCUGUCUGCUUUUCAGCUCUUUGGGCACAGACUAGACAUGUGCUUCAUAGGAGUUCCCCUCGUGGCUCAGUGAGUUAAGAACCCAACAUAGUGUCUGAGAUUAUGUGGGUUUGACCCCUGGCCUUGCUCAGUGGGCUAAGGCCACAAGCUGCUGUGUAGGUUGCAGAUAUGGCUUGAAUCUGAUGUUGCCAUGACUGUGGUGUAGGCCAGCAGCUGCAGCUCUGAUGUGACCCCCAACCUGGGAACUUCCAUAUGCUGUAGGUGUGGCUGUAAAAAGAAAAACAAUUAUUUACAGGAACAUUGGCCCAAGCAUGAAGUUACUUGUAAUGGGACAUUGGUGGUUGCAUGGGUUAUCAUAGCGUACAGUUGGAAAUGGUUUACAUGUCUGCCCGUGGUGCACGGGUAAAUAAAAUGCAGCACAACUACACAGCGAAAUACUAGGCAUUAAAAAGAGUCUCAGAUUGGGAUGUGUUUUCUUGAAAAAAUGACCAUCGUGUAUUAAUAAAAGAAAGCAGGUUCCCAGGCUAGGGGUCCAAUUGGAGCUACAGCUGCCAGCCUACACCACAGCCACAGCAACGCCAGAUCCAAGCUGCGUCUGUGAUCUACACCACGGCUCACAGCAACGCUGGAUCCUUAACCCAUAGUGCAAGGCCAGGGCUUGAACCUGCAGCCUCACGGGUACUAGUCAGAUUCGUGUCCAUGGAUCCCCGAUGGGAACUCCUGGACCCUGUGUUAAGAGCAGAGUUCCUCACCUGAUGCAGUGUCCACUCCAACCCCACCCCUCUCCAGGCCAGACUUGCCUGCCCGUUCCCACCGCCCCGGGAGUAUGGCCAGGGCCUGGGAGCUGUGUGGGUGUUUGAUUCUGGGCCCCAGGGCUUCUUGGCCAGCAUGGACCUCAGUCGCUAUAGCAAGUGUUUCUCUGUCCACUGACUGCCUACACUUCCAGAGCAGAUCUGGCUGUCAAACUGACCUGGGUUCAAGUUCAGGUUUUGCAGUACCCUAACUUGAAGAUGGUGGCCUUUUGCCAGUCACUUAACUUCACUGAGCCUUGGUGUCUUGUCUGUAAUGAGGGUGCAAAUACCUUUCUCUUAGUGGUUUAUCUAUUGUAUGUCUUGUUUCAAAGAACCUUUUUUUUUUUUUUUUUUUUUUUUUUUUUUUUUUUUUUUNNNNNNNNNNNNNNNNNNNNNNNNNNNNNNNNNNNNNNNNNNNNNNNNNNNNNNNNNNNNNNNNNNNNNNNNNNNNNNNNNNNNNNNNNNNNNNNCCUACACCACAGCUCAUGGCAAUGCCGGAUCGUUAACCCACUGAGCAAGGGCAGGGAUCGAACCCGCAACCUCAUGGUUCCUAGUCGGAUUCGUUAACCACUGCGCCACGACGGGAACUCCCAAAGAACCAUUUUAAAAUUCAAAAGUAAAAAAAUAAAAUUCAGCUUUACUCAAGUGUAUUCCUUAAAUUUCUUUUGGCUUUUUCUUCAUUAAUUGUUUCUGUUUUCCUUCACAUUCAGUUGUGUCUUUUUCCUGAUUUCUUGUAUCAAAUGCUUAACUUAAUUUCUUCCUUUUCUGUUAGGAAUCUUAAGGUUUUAGUUGAUUAAAUUUCCUCUAAGUACAGAUUUGUCUUUGUUUAAAAAGCUUGAUGUGUAAUGUUCCUUUCUCCAUCUGUGCUAUUUUCUAGGUAUUCAAUAGCUGUGGUGUUUUUUUUUUUUUUUUGCCUUUUCUAGGGUGACUCCCGCAGCAUUUGGAGAUUCCCAGGCUAGGGGUUGAAUCAGAGCUGUAGCCGCCGGCCUACACCAGAGCCACAGCAACGAGGGAGCCGAGCCAUGUCUGUAACCUACACCUCAGCUCACGGCAACGCCGGAUCCUUAACCCACUGAGCAAGGCCAGGGAUUGAACCCGCAACCUCAUGGUUCCUAGUCGGAUUCGUUAACCACUGCGCCACAACGGGAACUCCAAGGAGGGAAUUUUAAGUUUUCCAACUGACAGUGUUAUUUAUUUUUGCUUUUUAGGGCCACACCUGCAACAUAUGAAAGUUCCCAGGCUAGGGGUGAAAUCCAAGCUGCAGCUGCCUGCCAGUCUGCACCAUAGCCACAGCAAUAUGGGAUGGAUCUCUGUGGCCUACACCACAGCUCACAGCAACGCCGGAUCCUUAACCCGCUGAGUGAGGCCAGGGAUCGAACCUGUAUCCUCAUGGAUGCUAGUCAGAUUGGUUUCCACUGAGCCACUAUGGGAACUCUGGGUUAUUUUUACUUCUGCUCUCAUUAUAUCUUGUUUUAUUGUACAGAGACAUUUGCUUUUCAGAAUUUGGGGUUUUCCUUAACGUCUCACGUGUAGUUUUGUUUUUUUUUUUUUUUUUUUUGAGGGGCACACUUGCCACAUAUGGAAGUUCCCAGGCUAGGGGUCAAAUUGGAGCUGUAGUCAGUGGCCUGCACCACAGCCACACCAGAUCCAAGCCUCAUCUGAGACCUACACCACAGCUCACAGCAAUGCCAGAUCCUUAACCCAUGAGUGAGGCCGGGGAUAGAACCUGCGUCUUCACGGAUGCUCGUCAGAUUCCUUUCCACUCUGCUGUGCUGUGACAGAACUCCCUGUUGCCACCUUUUGACCAUAUUUGCUGAUCUACCUUGGUCAGGUCAGCUCUUACUGUUUCUGUUUUGAAUGGGCCUUGGUCUACCAAGGUGUAGGGAUUUCUGUAUUUUCCAGCGUCUCCCUCUUGGGAUUUUUUUUCCUUUGAAAGUUGCUCUGCGGUAGAGGUUUUGCUCCUCCCUUAUGCUUCCAUGGCGGAUGGUUGUCCUCACCGAGGCAAAAUGACUCUCCUGUUCCUUUCUUUCUCUCUUGUGUCUGGCGUCUCUCAUGCAGUGUUACACAUUGGUGAGUUUAUUCCUUCUCGCUGCUGCUGCUUUGUUUCAUUGAGGUGUAAUUGACAAGGUGAACAGGACAAUGAUUUGACUGAGAUACGUUAUGAGAUGAGGCCCACAGUAACAUUUAGUGAGCAUCCAUCCUCUCGCAGAGAUAGAAAAUUAAAGGCGUAGAAACACAUGGUUUUUCCUCGUGGUGAGGUUUACACCUUAAUGACCUUCGCAUGUAACAUACAGUAGUGUUAAUUAUAUUUACAUGUUGUACAUUGUAUCCCUGGUUCUUCAGGUUCUUGUAUCUGGAAGUUUGUACCUUUUGGCGGCCUUCAUCCAGUUCCCCUCCCCACCUCUGCCUCCGAUAACCACAGGUCUGAUCUUUUGUCUCUGAGUUUGUUUUGAAGUAUCGCUGACCUGCAGCUCUGUAUUGGUACCUGGUACCCAGUACAGUGAUUCAGUAUUUCUCUGCAUUUCAGAGUGAUCACCUCGACAAGCCUAGUUACCAUCUGUCUGUUCCUUCUCGUUGUGAAAUAGUAUUCUGUUAUGUGAGUGUAAUAUUUAUUCGUUCUAGCUGUGAUAGAUUUUACUUAGCUCGGUUCCAUUUAGAGCUGUGGUGGAGUGCUGCCAUUGCCGUGCUCACGCGUCCUUCGGUGUGUCUUGGUAUGUGUUCUCUUGCGUUCCUACCUAGGAAUGGAAUUGCUAGGUCCCAGGGGACGCAUAGGUUCGGCUUUAGUAGGCAGCUGCCACUUUUCCAGAGAGUGUACCAAUUGGCACACCCACCAGUAGUGCACAAGUGUCGUCCUUCCUUCCCACACUCACCAGCCCUUGGUGUAAAGAUGUCUCCUCUCACCAGAUUGAUCUCUAGAUGCUGCGCGAUUCCAACCAGAAUCCCAGCAGGCUUUUCUUUUGCUGUUGGUUAUUUGGAAAUUUGACAAACCGAUUAUGAAACUUAUGUGAAAAUGCAAAAAAGGACCAAGACUAAGCAACGCUGGAAGGGCUCAGCUGACUAGAUGUCAAGGCUUUAUAAAAGCCACAGUAAGGAAGGCAGCACAGUGUUGGUGAAAGGCUAGACAAAUGGACCGAUGGAACUGAGAUCUUGAAACAGGCUGCAUGGAAGCAGUCACUUAAUGUAUGACAAAGGUGCCACAUGACAGAUGGAAAAAAAUGGCCUUUUCAAAAAAAGGUCCUGGGAAGGUUGGAUUCUCCAUGUAGAAGAGGUGGGGGGAGAAUCUUCUGCCUGUAAUCCUGUCUAGAAUCAGUUUUAGGUAGAUUAUAGAGCUAAACGUGAAAGAGAAAACAGAACUUCUGGAGUAAACAGGAGAAUAUCCUUACCGUCUUGGAGAAGACAGUUCUUUAAAUAGGAUACAGAAAGUGCUACCAAAAUAGAGAAGAUUGGUACAUUGAACUGCCUUAAGCCUUCUCUCUUCUACUUUCUACAAAUGCUCCAAUGAAAUGCAGCAAACACUGUUUUGUAAUUGCCCAGAUCGUUAGAUAAUCCGUCAGUCCCCUGCUCUCCUCGGAUGGACGGCUCCUCUCCUGCCUUCAGUGCAGCUGCCUGGGGCUUUCUUUGGCUGUCACUCAGGGUCUUGUUCCUCUGUGUUGGAUCCCCUGUUUCUUGGGUCCGUGGGUGGUGUGAACGUCAAAUAACAGCGACUCUCUUAAGCUGCCUUGGAGCAAUAAGGUCACUGGCUCAAGUUAAGUAGAAUUCCAGCAGUUCCCCUUUGGUUGGUCCAGAUACCUUUCUUGUCUGGGUGGGUCUCUGGCCAGGGGGAUGGAGUUCUCUUAGAUGGAGCUGGGUGUGGGUCAGCUUCCCAGGCCGCAGGCUUCUUGGGAAGGGACAAGGUCACGUCCUCCAGGAAAGAAGAAGAGAGAGUUGACUUCCAGGAGGUCAGUCCACCGUGGCCACUGCAACAUUUGCCCGUGUCUUGGUUUGCUUUCUUACUCGUUAGAGCAUCUUUCCCUGUAACUUUCUGAGAAGGUAGAAUGUUUUGAGUCCUUUUGCGAGUCUAAAAAAGUUUUUUUCUAUCUUCACACUUGCCUCUGUCAGCAGAUUCUAGAUUUUAGACUGAAAAUUGUUUUCGGGGGAAGGGAAUGAUGCUGGUAAGCGUAGCGCAGUUGCUCCCAGACUCAUUGCCCCUCCCUCCUUUAUUCCUCCCUGGGGCCUUUUUUGGGGGCGAUGAUUGGCUUUCGGUCCUUGUCUUUAUCCCCAGUGUCCUGGGAUUUCACUUUGUACUUCCAUUGCUCUGAGGACUUGGAGGAGGGCUCUUGCAGUCUUGGGUCCUUUAGCUCUGGGAAUUUGUCUUGUAAUUUUUAUUUGAUGAUUUCCCUCCCUUUUCUCCCCUUUGUGUUUCUGGAACUCCUGGAUUAAUCUGAUUUUGCUGGGAGAAACCAGUGUUCAUCUCCUGGUUAAUUUGUCUGUGAUUUCCUUGACUUUAUCUUGCAUUGCUUCUAUUGAAAUUGAAAUUAAGAAAGUUCCCUUGUAGCACAGGGGGUUAAAGAUCUGGCAUUGCUGCAGCUGUGGUACAGGUGUGGCCAAAAAAAAAAAAAGGGAAAAUUGAAGUUUAAUUUUUUUUUAAUUUUUUUUAUUUUUUAUUUUUUUGGCUUUUUAGGGCUUCACCUGUGGCAUAUGGAGGUUCCGAGGCUAGGAGUCACACUGGAGCUGCAGCUGCUGGCCUACACCACAGCCACAGCAAUGCCAGAUCCAAGCCACAUCUGCAACCUGUAUCACAGCUCAUGGCAACGCCGGAGUCUUAACCUACUGAGUGAGGCCAGGGAUCGAAUCUGAAUCCUCAUGGAUCCUAGUCGGGUUUGUUACCUGCUGAGCCACAACAGGAACUCCCUAAAGUUAAAAAAAAUUUUCAGAAUGGUUUGGAUUUAUUGUAAAGUUAGAGGUUCUGUAUACCCUGCUUCCAGUUUCACCUGUUAGAAAGAUCUUACAUUAUUAUGGUCCAUUUGUCCCAACUAAUUAACCAGCAUUUAUACCCUGAAGUCUCUGUUUUAUUCAGAUUUUCUUAGUUAUUUAAUGUCCCUUUCUGUUCUACGGUACCAUGUUUUGUUGUCCUGUCUCCUUAUGUUCCUUUAUUAUUUUAUUUUAUUUUAUUUUAUUUUGUCUUUUUGCCACUUCUUGGGCCGCUCCUACAGCAUAUGGAGGUUCCCAGGCUAGGGGUCUAAUCGGAGCUGUAGCCGCCAGCCUACACCAGAGCCACAGCAACGUGGGAUCCAAGCCAUGUCUGCAACCUACACCAUAGCUCACAGCAAUGCUGGAUCCUUAACCCUACUGAGCAAGGCCAGGGACCGAACCCGCAACCUCGUGGUUCCUAGUCGGAUUCCUUAACCACUGUGCCACGACGGGAACUCCCUUAAGUUCCUUUAGACUGUGACAGUUGCCAGAUUUUUCCUGUCUCUGAUGACCUUGACAGUCUUGGGGAGUACUGAUCAGGUAUUUUGUAGAAUGUCCCUCAGUUGGGAUUUGUCUGAUUUUUCUCCUGAUUAACCUGAGCUUUUGGGGUUUUGGCUGUCCUGUCUUGAGUUCUUCCUAGGGCUUUUUUCUGUUUUCUGGUGCCCCGUACACAAAAAAGCACAACAAUCUGUUUUUGUUUGCAGGUGUGCAACGUCUCAGUCUCCUGAGGACAUUCGUUUUAUGUUAUGUAUUUUAAAAAAACUCUUUGAUUCCUGGCAUUGUCUGUCUCCUCCAGCUUCUUUCGUUUGUCUCUCUGUAUUGCUUUCUGUCUUUCAGUUGACGUCUCAGAUGUCCGUGGUCUUAGACGUGUACACAGCUGAUUGGAAACUGGGUGGGUGGGUCAGCAGGAGCUCUUGGGGGUGGGGCGGGUAGUUGAGAAGCUGACCUUUUAUAUCCCAAGUGGGUCUUGUAGGUUUUCGAGAGAAUGCUCCUUUGCCGGAGGUUGCACAUGCCUCUGCUCCACUCCGUGGGGCCAGCAGCAGAGGGGACUUCGGCCCCACAGUUUGCUCCUCAGGUUUUCACUUAGCUUCUUUUUUUAGCUCCUUUCCUCCCCACCCUCCCCCCGCCCAUUUGACCCUGGUGACCCCUCUAGGGGAGCAGGAAGGCUGUGUGGGAGGCUGGCGGUGGCACAUGCAGCCUUUCUGCAAGGGCUCCUCACCCUCCCAGUCCUGCAGGGUGCCCACCCUUCCCCAUACUUCCUGAGCUGCUAAGUCUGUUACUACUCCGGUUGGUUCUUUGUCUGCCGCCAUUGUCCCUGUGUUUUGCAUUCUCUUUGUUGUCUAUUUCCUUUUAAAGGGUUUUGGGAAGGUGAGCUAUAAAUGCCAUGUUUAGCCAGAACGUCCCUGUUUUCUAAAGAGUUUUCAUGCAUCAGGUGGAAUGGAGGUAAGGGCACAUCUGGGUAGGCACACAUGUGUGUUUGAGUACCUGUGUGUGUCCAUUUGUCAGUUACACCUCUCGGCUCCUUUUCCCCCUGAUGGGUGGUGCUUGUCUUCGUAUCAGAACAUCGAGAGCUGCCAUUUGCUGUCGUGGCUACAGAGGGUUGCAAGGCCCUGGAGAAAGGGUGGGUUGGGCUGUUGGCCAUGUGUCACACCAUCUUGCACAAAGUGAGCUCUCUGUCCCUGCCCUCCUGAGAAGGGAGGAAAGGGGAGCUCUCCAUGACAGCCUGUCCUCACAGCAGCCUUCUAAAGUAGGCCUUCUGGGAGUUCCCGUCGAGGUGCAGCAGAACCGUGAGGUUUCGGGUCCAUUCCUGGCCUCGAUCAGUGGGUUAAGGAUCCGGCGUUGCCAUGAGCUGGGGUGUAGGCUGGCAGCUGCAGCUCCGAUUAGACCCCCAGUUUGAGAACUUCCAUAUGCCGCAGGUGCAGCCUUAAAAAGUAAAAAAAAUUAAAAAAAAAAA
rnacentral:lncRNA from 1 species